ACAAAGGACUACUAUACCGGCACACAGAGAAGGUAGUGUCCGGGUCAAUACCUUUACCCAUUAAACAGCUAAUAGUGCCUCGAAAAUAUAGGUUAGAGCUGUUACGCAUAGCCCAUGAUAUCCCCCUGUCUGGACACCUCGGCAUCAGUCAUACCAAGCACAGGCUGACCCAAAAUUUCUUUUGGCCAGGUAUUUCUCAGGAUGUUAGGCGAUAUUGCCAGACCUGUGAUACCUGCCAAAGGGUAGGUGUGACGAGACCAAUCUCGCCACAUUGCAUUGGAGAAGCCUGGUUGCUCGCCUGCUGCCUUUGGACUAUGGCCCCCUAUUAAAAGACUUUAUUUUGCCUGCAGAAAAGCUAUAUUCGUGCUUUUCUGCCGGUUGUUCGGUAGUUUCAAUCUACCGAACAACCGCACGAAUGAAUAGACCACCUGGAGCUGGAGUGUGCCGGCAAUUAACCUCCCUGAAGCUGCGGUUAACCGCAGCUUAAUUGAUGAAUGCUGGGUGGCCGCCAUUCGUAUCCCGAACACGAGGUCGCGGCCAUUUUAAAACAUACGAAUGCACAGCGGUGUUCGCCUCUAUUUUCAUGGAACUAAAAUCGGACACAGUUUUGCGCGAACACCGCUGGAGCCGCCGACCUCCCUUCUUGUUUUUUUUGAUUGGGUAACUAAAAUUAUAGAUCAGGGUGGUGCAGUAGACAUUGCUUACCUAGAUUUCAGUAAGGCUUUUGACACUGUUGCACAUAGAAGGCUUAUCAAUAAACUGCAAUCUUUAAGUUUGGAUUCCAAUAUUGUUGAAUGGGUAAGGCAGUGGCUGAGUGACAGGCAACAGAGGGUUGUAGUUAAUGGAAUAUAUUCGAAGCUUGGACUUGUCACCAGUGGGGUACCUCAGGGAUCUGUACUUGGACCCAUUCUCUUUAAUAUUUUUACUAGUGAUAUUGCAGAAGGUCUUGAUGGUAAGGUAUGUCUUUUUGCUGAUGAUACUAAGAUAUGUAACAGGAUUAAUGUUCAGGAGGGAUAAGCCAAAUGACAAAUGAUUUAGGUAAACUAGAAAAAUGGUCAGAAUUGUGGCAACUGACAUUUAAUGUGGAUAAGUGCAAGAUAAUGCAUCUUGGACGUAAAAACCCAAGGGCAGAGUACAGAAUAUUUGAUAGAGUCCUAACCUCAACAUGAGGAAAGGGAUUUAGGGGUGAUUAUUUCUGAUGACUUAAAGGUAGGCAGACAAUGUAAUAGAGCAGCAGGAAAUGCUAGCAGAAUGCUUGGUUGUAUAGGGAGAGGUAUUGGCAGUAGAAAGAGGGAAGUGCUCAUGCCAUNNNNNNNNNNNNNNNNNNNNNNNNNNNNNNNNNNNNNNNNNNNNNNNNNNNNNNNNNNNNNNNNNNNNNNNNNNNNNNNNNNNNNNNNNNNNNNNNNNNNAACAUUAGAAAGGUACAUUACUCAGUAUGUACUAUUGGGUAAUAAAUAUAAAAGAAACAAAUUAAAACCAAUGUGGCUUAGUAGAGAAGUAAAACAAUAGAUUAAAAAUAAGAAAAGGGCAUUUAAAUCGGGCAAAUCAGAGGCAUCCUAUAUUAUAUAUAAGGAAGCCAAUAACGCUUGCAAAAAGGCAAUUAAAGUGGCUAAACUAGAAAAUGAGAAAUUGAUAGCCAAACAAUGCAAAACUAACCCCUAAAAAAACAUAAAAUGAAAGUGUAGGUACACUGGAAACAGAGAUGGGUCUGUUAGUUAAUGAAGACAAGGAAAAGGCAAAAAUUUUAAAUAACUAUUUUCCUUCAGUAUAUAUUAAUGAGGAUCAUAUGGCAAGAGAUAAGCAAAUGAUUGCUGCAAAAAACUUGCAGAUAACUUGUGAUUGGAUUGUAACCACAGCUGGUUUUCCUAUUUACCACUAUAACGUAUUAAAGCAUAGAAAUUAGCCGGACUAACCAUACAGAUAUCUUAGCCAUAAUUUUAAAUACAUGUAGUUAGUAAGAGAUCCUCUAUUUAAAAUAUAUAAAUAAUUGAGAAUACAAUAUAAAAUAAGGAUUGUCUUUCUAAGCAAUAAAGUUUUGUCUUUUAAAAUAUUUUAUUAAAUAAAAAAUAUACAUAUAGACAUAACAAAAAUUACAAAGAUUUAUAGCAGAUUUUAUAAGAUUAAACUAUAUGCUUGCAAAUAUCCUUAAUAGAAUAACAUACCCUCCUGAACAUGUCAUCAUGUCAGCCAGGACCGGACUGGGAAAAAAAUUUGGCCCGGGCAUUUUUCAAUCAGAGCGGCCCCCUAAGAAGGGGGCGGGGCUAGAGAGAGUGUGUUUUGUCAUCACUAAUGACAAGCACGCCCCCUCUCAAAGUGAGCAUGUUGGUUCAAUGCGCAGAGCCCCGCGGAAGAGCUCUGGCAUUAGAAAAAGGCCCUGAAUUUGUUCUGCCCAGCGUAAGCAAAUUUAAUAACAUGCUUGCACUGUGUUUGCUUUUAAAUUGUCUCUGGUGUCUCCACAAGUGGGAUACCAGAAGACAAAAGGGCCAGGAAAGUGCAUGGUGCAUGUGUUUGGAGCAUGCUUGUGGGAUUGUGUGUGUGUAGAGUGUGGUGUGGUAUUGUGUAAAUAGGUCAAUUUCAUUUGUGUUUGUGGUGUAAUAUGUGUGGCUAGGGGCAGUGUGUAGGAGAUCUAGUGUGUAAAGGACUCAGAGUGUGUAUAGGAGAUUGUGUGUGUGUGUAGAGGAUUAAGAGUGCAUAUAGGGUAAGGGAUCUAGCGUGUAUCUGGAGCGUAAUGUGUGUAGUGGUGCCGUGUGAGGGGUGCUGUAGUGUGUGUGUAUAUAUAUAUAUUUGGACGUAUUGUAUGUGUGAGGGGCGCAGUGUGUGUGUGUGUGUAUGUAAGAAGGGUGCUGUGUGUGAGGGUGUUUUUAUCUGCCGUCUUAUUCUAGGUUUCUUUUUUUUUUGUCUGUUAACUCAAUGAGAGUUAUUUUAUUUAUUAUAUAUAUGUGGGUGUGUGUGUGUUGUAUAUGUGUGGAAGUAUGCUGUGUGUGGGUGCUGUGUGAGUGAGGGUGUUGUCUGUCUGAGGGAGCAGUGUCUGUCUGAGGGUGCUGCGUGUGUAUCUGGUUGAUGUGUGUGUCUGAGGGUGCUGUGUGUGUCUGGGUGCGGCGUGUUUGUCUGAGGGUGCUGUGUGUGUGUCUGAGGAUGCUGUGUGUGUGUCUGAGUGCUGCGUGUGUAUCUGGGUACUGCGUGUGUAUCUGGGUGCUGCGUGUGUGUCUGGGUGCUGUGUCUGGGGCUGUGUCUGGGGUGCUGUGUGUGUCUGGGGUGCUGUGUGGGGUGUCUUGGGGUGCUGUGUGUGUCUGGGGGAGCUGUGUGUGUCCUGGGGCCCAAAGGUCUGGGGACUUCAAAAGGCCUGAGGGGCUGUGUGCUGCCUGGGGGUGCUGUGUGCAUCUGAGGGGGCUGUGUGCAUCUGAGGGGCUGUGUGUGUCUGGGGGCUGUGUGUGUGUCUGGGGUGCUGUGUGUGUCUGGGUGCGGCGUGUUUGUCUGAGGGUGCUGUGUGUGUGUCUGAGGGUGCUGUGUGUGUGUCUCUGAGGGUGCUGCAUGUGUAUCUGGGUGCUGCGUGUGUAUCUGGAUGCUGUGUCUGGGGGUGCUGUGUGUGUCUGGGGAUGCUGUGUGUGUCUUGAGGUGCUGUGUGUGUCUGAGUGAUGCGUGUGUAUCUGGGUGCUGCGUGUGUGUCUGGGUGCUGUGUCUGGGGGCUGUGUCUGGGGGUGCUGUGUGUGUCUGGGGAUGCUGUGUGUGUCUUGGGUGCUGUGUGUGUCUGGAGGGGGCUGUGUGUGUCUGGGGGUGCUGUGUGUCUUGGGGGUGCUUUGUCUUUCGUCUGAGGGGUGCUUUGUCUGUCUGAGGGGCUGUGUGUGUGUCUGAGGGGGGCUAUGUGUGUCUGUGGGGCUGUGUGUGUCUGGGGCUGUGUGUGUAUCUGGGGCUGUGUGUCUGGGGGGCUGUGUGUGUCUGUGGGGGCUGUGUGUAUCUGGGGGCUGCUGUGUGUGUGUCUAAAGGUAUGUCUGGGGGGCUGUGUGUCUGGGGGGGCUGUGUGUAUCUGGGGCUGUGUGUAUCUGGGGUGGGGCUGUGUGUGUCUGGGGCUGUGUGUAUCUGGGGGUGCUGUGUGUAAGUGUGGAAUUUAUUUAUUUUAUAUAUUUUUAUUAAUAAUCCCUUCUUACCUCUAGCCUGGGAUGGCGGGGUGGGGGGGGGGGGUGAGCCGUUCUGCAAUGAGGGGGAUCCGUUCUGCCUGGGGUGCCAUGAGGGGGACCAUGCUGCCAUCCUUCCCUGGUGGUCCAGUGGUGAGAGUGAACUCUAACCUGCAGGCUAGAGUUCACUCUCGCGAGAUCUGAGAGUUGCCGCGAGAGGACCCGGCGGAGCUGCUGGUUAGAGCUCCACCGGGUUCUCUCCUCACUCCCUCCCCAGCCUGCGGCCGCCUGUAACAGUGCCUGUGGGCCGGUGAGAGAGAUCUUUGAUCUCCCCACCGGCCCAUGGAGGCACACAGCGGGGCCGGCGCUCGGGUAUUCUGUGAUCUCCCCUGCCGGCCUCGGCCCCACUGCCAUCGCGGCCCACCGGGCAUUUUCCCGGUGUGCCCGAUGGCCAGUCCGGGCCUGAUGUCAGCCUCUCUGUCAUUAUAAGAUGGAGCGUCUGUCUCCAAAUCUCUCCUUUCUGUGUUAACAUUUAAAAGCACACAUAUUUAUACCUUAGGUGUCUCCAUUUUAGGGUUACCAUAGUUCAUAUAUGAAAAAGUAACACUUCUUUUACUUCAUUCAUUUUAGGACCUCCCUUAACUUGGCAAACAUACAAGGCAAUAACUAAAAUGAAAGAGUGCACACAUGGAAAAUUCCCUGACUUAGGACAAGAUGGCAUCUUAAAGUCUGAACAUUUUUAUCUAUUUAGGGUUACCGCAGUAUAUUGUGUACUGAAAGAGUCGUAGCAUACCCUUAAAGCUUGUUUAUACAUUAUUGUUAUUGUAUUUUGUCUGGGACAAAAUGGCGUAAACAUAUUAUUUACUUGUGACGAGACCAAUCUCGCCACAUUGCAUUGGAGAAGCCUGGUUGCUCGUCUGCUGCCUUUGGACUAUGGCCCCCUUUUAAAAGACUUUAUUUUGCCUGCAGAAAAGCUGUAUUCGUGCUUUUCUGCCGGUUGUUCGGUAGUUUCAAUCUACCGAACAACCGCACGAAUGAAUAGACCACCUGGGAGCUGGAGUGUGCCGGCAAUUAACCUCCCUGAAGCUGCGGUUAACCGCAGCUUAAUUGGUGAAUGCUGGGUGGCCGCCAUUCGUAUCCCGAACACGAGGUCGCGGCCAUUUUAAAACAUACGAAUGCACAGCGGUGUUCGCCUCUAUUUUCAUGGAACUAUAAUCGGACACAGUUUUGCGCGAACACCGCUGGAGCCGCCGACCUCCCUUCUUGUUCGGUGGAAGUGCACGAACGGCCCGGUAUUUUUGUUCGAAUGUAUUAUACCGCAGAUAGGAAUCCCAUGGAGCCCAUUCGUAUGAAACUGACUGUGUAAAGACUUUAGCUCCAUGGCGAUUAAACUGUAUUCAUGCGGUCUGAGUGCCAUUCACCUAAUAAUGUGCACUCAAACCUGAGCUAUCUUGGGAUAUGUUACAUGUCUGUGUUUUAUGUAGUAAAUGUUACUUUAUGUAUUUUAAAGUAUAAUACUGGUUUUGUGUCCCCACAUGUGUAAUGGAGUUUUGCCUUUGUCUUGGGAGAUAAUUGAGUUACUUCACAAUUAUCUCCCAAGGCAGAGGGGAGGAAGCCAGGAUGCAUUGUGGGAAAUACUGUGACUGUGUGUCCUAUUUGUCUGCUUGUCUGUCCCUUGUCACAGUCUCCCAUUUGGUCCCCUAGGGGAGUGUCCACCAGGUGGGAGACCUGCAUAAAUACUGGGCAGGGAGCCCUCAUUAAACAGACCACUGCUUGACCCUCAAUACGGAGCCUUGUCUCGUCUUUGGGGGGAUUUACUGUAUGCUGCUAAGGACUGAUUGCCAGGAGUGUAAGCCGCUUGGGAGCUUUUCCUGUUCGUCUGGUAGCAGCAAUUCGUAUGUUCCUGUUCGUGUAUUUGGAGUGCUACCUUAUUCCCUUGUAUGCCGUUCGGGAGUUUGGAGCAUUCACUUGUAUGCAGUUCGAGAGUUUGGAGCAUUCACUUGUAUGCAGUUCGAGUGUUUGGACCAUUCCCUUGUAUGCAGUUCGAGUGUUUGGACCAUUCCCUUGUAUGCAGUUCGAAUGUUUGGAGCAUUCCCUUGUAUGCCGUUCGGGAGUUUGGAGCAUUCACUUGUAUUCAGUUCGUGAGUUUUGGUGAUUCUACAGUAGCUGUGCCUGUCUCUGAAAGGGGAUUAUCGUCUAAGCGUUUUUUUCCCUUUUUGUGCAAAACGGUCCAUACAGUACUGAAAGUAGGUAAAAGGGUAUUGCUUUAAGAAACACGUAUGAAAAACAAUAUAUUCCAUUUCUAACACCUUAUCAGUUUUCAAUAUCUCUUAAAGACAAAGUACACAGUUUGAGAAAUACAAUGUAGAGGAGAGGUGAUAUUUCACAGGUUAUCUCCACUCAAGAUCCCAGUGAGGCUCAGGAAUAAGUAUUAAAAAUCCAUAAGGCAAUACUUUCAGCAGGCAAAACAAUCCAACAAUAUCCCCAUACAGAUCCCAAUGACUGGACGACACACAGCAUCAGGAGCAGAACUGAACUUGUAAUCACUCAACCUUCUUUUAAAGCUUUCUCCCAUGUAAGGGAGGGAUUUACAGUAAUUAUACAAUACACCAAUCAUACAUGAGUUGCCACCCACACAUCCCCUGCCCUUAGUAUGACUCAUAAUCCCAUUAUGCAGAACACAGUUCCCCUGGUUUUCUGGAUGUACCCCUAAACAUAGGGGUACCCCUUUAAAUAUCACAUCCCCUGGUAGCCCUGAUCUGGGUGAGAAACAUAUUCAAAAAUCACCCAGAUCGAACAAGGGGUUCGGGAAUUUCCUGGAGGUAAUAAAAAGACCGACGCGUUGGAGUUAACAGCCGAAAGGGGUUCCAUACAUUUUGGCCCUGCGGUCGGUCACAGAAAAAGGGAAUAUACACGAACGGCUUGGGUUAUGGAGACUGAAGAGGAUUCGGAUAAACCACCUUGUUCGUGGGGUUCUUUCUACCGAACGGGGAGCCGUUCGGUAGUUCCUACACAAAUUAACUGCAGUGUGGACGUCUCCCGAAUGGCGGCCACCCAGAGGACAAAGCACACAGUGCACUGAUAGCCAAUUACCCAUUUGCAACAUUGUUGCGAACGGUAAUUGGAGGCACACUUAUUCCUGGGGUGGUCUGAUUGUUCGGUAGUUUCACUCGCGUAAUAACUGGAGUGAUUUUAUAAAUCAAUCAGUUGAAUGAUGCAUACACUUUACAUACAUAUGGCAAAAAUUAACCGAACACAUACGAAUACACAUAAUUCUGAGGACAGCCCAAUGCCAUCCUCUACAUACAAUAUUUGCAUUAGCCCAUAACAGGACAACUCGAGACAGCAGUUAAAGAAAAUUAAUGUAAAUAAAGCUCCAGGGCCUGACGGUAUUCACCCACAGGUACUUAAGGAGCUAGGUGGGGAAAAAAGGGAACCUCUGUAUUUAAUCUUUAAAGAAUCUUUUGUUUCAGGUAUUGUACCGGAAAUUUGGAGGAAGGCAGAUGUCAUUCCUAUAUUUAAAAAGGGUUCAAAAUCCUUGCCUGCAAAUUAUAGACAUGUGAGCUUAACAUCUGUGACUGGGAAAAUGUUUGAAAGGCUAUUAAGGGAUAAUAUUCAGGAAUUUAUUGGGAAGAACUUUGUUAUUAGCAAUAAUCAACAUGGCUUUAUGAAAUAUAGGUCAUGUCAAACUAACCUAAUUGCAUUCUACGAAGAAGUAUAGAUCAGGGUGUUGCAGUGGCUGUGAUCUAUUUGGAUUUUGCCAAGGCAUUUGAUACGGUUCCUCACAAUAGGUUAGUCUUCAAACUAAAAGAAAUUGGUCUUUUUGAAUAGUCUUGUUCUUGGGUAGAACAUUGGCUUAAGGAUAGAGUACAACGGGUUGUCAUUAAUGGUAAAUUUUCAGGCUGGACAAAAGUGGUAAAUGGUGUCCCUCAGGGUUCUGUUUUGGGACCGUUUCUAUUUAACAUAUUUAUAAAUAAUCUUGAAAUACGCAUUGAAAGCCAUGUUUUAGUGUUUGCAGAUGACACAAAACUUUGCAAAGUGAUAAAAAGUGAGUAGGAUAUUGCUAUGCUGCAGAAGGAUUUAGAUAGAUUGGGGGACUGGGCACUAAAAUGGCAGAUUAAAUUUAAUGUAGAGACAUGCAAAGUUAUGCACUUUGGGGUCAAGAAUGUACAAGCAAUUUACACCCUAAAUGGUAGUGAAUUAGGGAUAACCACUCACGAGAAGGAUUUGGGAAUUGUUAUAGACAACAAAUUAGGCAGCAAUAUCCAAUGUCAAUCUGCAGUUGCUAAGGCCAGUAAGGUUUUGUCAUGUAUAAAUAGGGACAUAAAUUCUCGGUAUGAAUUUGUAAUUUUGCCUCUUUAUAAAUCGCUGCUAAGACCACACCUUGAAUAUGCUGAAUAUGUAUAUAUCUAUAUAUGUUGAAUAUAUUCGGUGCCAGUACAAACUAUUAUCUUGAAAUCUAUUCAUGGGCUAUCCAUAGGACACAAGGUCACGUAUUUAGGCUGGAAGAAAUUAGAUUUCAUCUAAGGCAAAAAGUUUUUGGUUUUUUUAACAGUAAGAACUAUAAGGAUAUGGAAUUCUCUGCCUGAAGAGUCCAUACAGAUGUUUACCCCUUAAGGACAGAGCCAAUUGUAUAAAUUGUGAUCAAGACAAAUGUAAACAAAACCUGGAAAUUGCGAUAUAUGUUGUUCAACGAUAAUUCACCUCUUUCAUAUUAAGUGUACCCACACUUAUUAUAUAUCAUUUUGUUCAGGAGAAACAGGGCUUUCGUUUUAUAUCACAUAUUUAUAUAUGAAACAUAACUGAAUGUGAAUAAAAUUUAAAAAGUAUGAGAAAAUAAGAAAAUGUGUUAUUUUUCAAGUUCUGCAUAACUGUUACUGUCAUAAUACUAGUAGACAUAUUUGUAUUAAGCAAUGUUUCAUGAGUACCACAGUACCCUACACAUAGAGGUUUUAUGAGUGUUUGGAAACUUACAAAGGUCAAAUAUAGGGCUUUCCCCUUUUCCAUUGAAAUUUGCCAGUUCGGUUUGCUGGGCCGGUUGCCUUUAAGACCGGAUGGUUGCCUUUGAGACGGUAUGGCAGCCCAGAAAUGAAAAUUAACCCCACCAUGGCAUACCAUUUGAAAAAGUAGACAACCCGGGUAUUCAGAAUGGGCUAUGUCCAGUGUUCUUUAGUAGCCACUUGGUUACAAACGCUGGCCAAAUUUAGCAUUCAUAUUAUUUUUUUUGCAUUUUGGUACGUUUUACUGUUUUAUAAACACACAUAUUUGUGUUCAGCGACGUCUCCCAAGUACAAUAAUACCCCCCAUGUCCAGGUUUUAUGGUGUUUUGGAUAAACAUAGGACUUGCAAAUUUAAUUUUCUGGGCUUGCUGCCUGGGUUGUCAGGCUGGUCCCUCAAAUUAUAAUAAAAUGACUAAAUUAUGUUAAAAGAUUACAUAAAUAUACACGUAGAAUUUAAAUAUAUACAUAUAUAUGUAUUUAAAUCCUACAUGUAUAUGUAUGUAAUUAUUUAUGUAGUUAUUUCUAUUUUUAUGUAUAUAUUUUUUAUUUAUUUUUAUAUAUUUAUAUAUAGAUAUAAUUUCAUUAUAAGUGUAUUUUGAUUGAUUAUAUAUAUAUAUUAAUAUCAAAAUACUUUUAGAAUGAAAUUGUAUAUAUAGAUAAUUUGUUUAAAUGUUUUAUUAUUAAUUAAAUAUAAUAUUUUUAUUAUUUAAAUUUUAUUAAAAUAUAUAUAUAUGCAGUUACUGUAUGUAAAUAUUAUUUGUGUUCGGGGCAUUCUCAUAUGAUAUAGAAUAAGAUGGGUUGUAGAGAUGUAGCUUUAGGAAUAAUCGGUUGAGGUGUGCCGAAACCGACGUAUGCUGUAGGCCGGUAAAAAGUGGGCUUACAUAGAGGAAAUAUGAACAAUGGGAGUGGAGGGUGGGGCUAUUCAUCUGACCAACAAAGGUAAGUAGGGAAAGGGGGGAGUCCCUUUUAUAGGUCUAUAGCCCCUCUAUAGCCUGUAAAUAAAAGAGAGCCCACCAAGGAGAAUGUAAUGAUAACAGGGUGUAGGUGGGUGGGGACAAUCAACUGAACCAGCAGAGGUGAGUAGGGGCUGGGAGUUUAAGUAGGGGACUUACUCCUCCCACAAAUUCAGGCCUAAUGGCCUUUCUACUUGAGCUCGGAAUUUAAUAUGUAAUGGAUAGUAUCUGAAAGGGCAAAGUUGGUUGUGGUGUGCCGAAACCAACGUACGAGUGGGCCUGUAAAUAAAAGAGGGCAAAAGAGAAGUUCGAGAAAAUACACACUUUAUUGCCUUUUUUACAUAACCAAGUUCCUGAAAGCUUGACGAAGCUCUUUUUCUGGUCACGGUAUAUAAGUAUGAUAUAUGGAGGAUUUCCAACGACCCAGUCUCUUGAUGAUGUGGACCGGGGUGUUUGUGCUAGAGGCUGAUGAAGCGGCUCCUAUGCGGAAUGAGUGCCCGGAAAAUGAAGCCGGAUUGUAACCCAGUUUGGAUAGUAGUGUCCUGACGUGUGUCGUGAAUUUAGCCGUGGUGAGCGGGUGCCCUUGUAGUGAUAAGAGCGGUGAGUCUGGUAAGUGCGCGUGAUGGGUUGACCGUAGGUGAUCUAGUGCCUUGACCGGACACCAGGCAUUAUCGGUAGGGAAGAGAGGAAUUAUGGUGGGGUGUUGUGAUUGGUAAGUUUUAGUUGAUGGGAUCAUAAGUAGGUAGUGAUCCUCCACCUUAGUAAGGUGUGAUGUUUUUAGGCUGUGCGUGAUAUCUCCUUGACAAAUAACGGUGAACUCUCUGGGUCUGAGAAAACCGUAGAAAGCAAGAUAGAUAGCAGAUUUAAUGACCAGGUUUGUGUUGGGAUCGAACGGGGAUUCAUCAAGGAGAUUGCUAAGUGAUCUAAAGAUAGGUCCGUCUAUAGGUAGUCUUGUAGUGGUGAGUGGAACUGAAACCUUUAAUUUACCUUUCAGGACCUUUUUAAUGGGAUAUGAUGACAAGAAGGGGGUGUUGUUAGGAAAAUUGGUGAGGCUAUGGUGCUGAACCCCGGUGAGGUAAAGUUUAAUGGUGUUGUGAGAAAGUUUAAGAUGUAAGUAGCAGAAAGAGGCAAAAGCCACCAUGGUUUGUGUAGAGAAGUCGCCUUGUAAACCGAAUUCUGCAGUGAAUUUGUUAAAAAUGGUAAGUGCCCUAUUAUAUGAGAUAGCUGUGUUGGGUGAUAGUGCUUGGUGAGUGAGAGUCCUAGCGUGGUGCAUAAGUGUGUUUAAUCCAGGAUUAGCUCGUGAAAUCGUGGUGUCCUGGAUGGCUGGUGGUGAGCCAUAGGGAGUGCCUGGAAGAAUACCUGGAAUUGAGAGCGAGAAAGAGCAUCAGCGGCCGUGUUGUGGGUGGCCGGGAUGUGAAAACAAACUAUAUGAAACUGGACGGUUGCUGUCAGCCAGGUCAGCUUGCGAAUCAGCCGCAUGAUGGUAAGGGAUGAUGAGCGCCCCUUGUUUAUGAUUUCGCAAGCCGCCGAGUUAUCAGAAUAGCAUUUUACUGCCUUGCCGGACCAGAGAUGACCCCAGGUGUGUGCGGCCGCCACGAUGUGAUAAUUUUUAAUAGGGCUGAGGUCUCCCUGAAUCCUGGCAAGGCAUCCGUCUCAGCGGGCCAGUGACCCCUGAACCAGUGGUUCCCGAAGAUGGCUGCGAAACCAGUGUUGGCUGCAGCGUCUGUAUGGAUGAUGGGUGAACAAGUGGAGAGAGGGGGGAUAAACAUGGAGAUACCGUUCCAAUCUGCCAAAAAUCUUCCCCCACAUAGCUAAGUCGGCCUUUGCGUGGGGGUCCAAAGAAACUGGGCAAGAGUCCGGUACCCCAUGGAGCAGGCAAAGAAGCCUAGAUAUAAAAGACCUUCCCUGCGGGAUGAUGCGCAUGGCGAAGUUAAGUGAUCCCAGAAGGGACUGAAGUUCCCUUCUGGUGCAAACAUCAUUCUGCAGGAACAUGUCUAUCUCCCCUCUCAAGCGGAACAGUUUGUCGUGGGGAAGGCUAGCUCGGAGGGUAACAGAGUCUAGCUCUAUCCCCAAAAAGGUUAAUUUAGUUGUGGGGCCAAUUGUUUUUGAUGGAGACAAUAGUACACCAAGUGUGGAAAAAAGUGCUGUAGUAUUGCUGAUAGCAGUUGGUGUUUGUGCCCCUGGCUCUAUCAGUAAGAAGUCGUCUAAGUAAUGGAUAACAGAGUGACACCUGAGGACGUUCAGAAGCAGCCAGCAUAGUGUUUCAGCGAAGAUAUCGAACAGUUUGGGGCUGCUUCUAGAACCGAAAGUGAUUCGAGUGGAGAAGUAGUACUUUUCUCGCCAUUUAACACCGUGCAAGUGCCAGAGUGAGGGGUGCAUGGGUAGUAAUUUGAAAGCAUUUGUGAUGUCCGUUUUGCUGAGCCAGGGGCGACUGCGAGAUGAGCUGAUGGAUUGUAUAGCAUCGUCAAUUGUUACAUACUGAAGUGAGAAUUCGUCUGCGGGUAUGAGUGGGUUUAUGCUGGGAACAAAAGAGGAGUGCGGUGCCGAUAAAUCAAUAAUUAGACGGUUUUUAUUAAAAUAUUUGUGUACUGCGAAAACAAUGGGGUUAGUGCGCCAGGAGGAAAACGGUGAGGAGGUGAAGGGGCCGAUCAUGAAACCGUUGGUAAUUUCUGCGGAAAGGAGGGUAUCUGUGGAGAUUGGAUCUUGGCAUGCUGACAAUAAAUUGGGACAUUCCAGUGUGCCCGUGGGGAUGGCUACAAUACCCGUGAAAAAACCCUGAGUGAAUCCAGUGGUCAGAUAUUCCACCAAAUCUGCUAGGGUGUGUCCUUAGGUAAAAAAACAGGUUGUCAAUAUUUAUGUCGGUUAGUCAUUUGUUAGGGGACAACCUGGCCGGGCACAUGGUCUUGGUAUGUGCCCUAAAGCAUAUAGAACAGAUGUGCAACAAUCUACAGGCACCGAAACUGCAGGAGCCUGCGUUGAAAUUAUUGCACACCUGAGCUUUACCUAAGAAGGAGAUGGGCCUACCCAGCUUAUCACGUAGACCGCCCGCUGAUUUGUUGUGAGGGGUGAAAGUGGGAUUAGGGGUGGGAGUGGAGGUGGUGGGAUAGACUUCUGAAGGACAUAAGUCUGCAGUAUGAGAUGUAGAGUUACAUACGGCGCAAGACGGGGGCCUGAGACCAGCGAAGUGGCGACAGAAUAGUGUCCAUCUGACACCACUUAAUUCUGACAUUGAACUGUUUCAGAUGGGUUGCCGCCUUUGCUGAUACCGACUUAUGAUAGUCGUAAAAAGAGGAGCCCCCGUACUUGAUGCCUUAAUCCACCACCUUGUGGAGGUAGAGGUCUAGCUCUUCUCUUCUGUGGGGAUACACCAUGCAGAUGACAUCACGGUAUAUCCCAAAGGCAAUCACGAACUGAGGUAUGGUUAGUUUUUUGUUGAGUCUGGGGUCUCUAGUCUUAAGCACCACUGAGAUUUCCCCGUAAUUGUAUGCCCUGUUCUCCAGUAUGUCUUGAAAUGCUAUAAGCAGAGACACCAGACACACGUCCUUCCCAUCUAGGAUUUCUUUCCUGAUGGAGUCUGGGACGGAGUGAGCUGGUGACUCGAAAGGAGAAAUAGCUGUGGCUGGUGCUGGAGGAGGGAGUAUGGGGGGGCAUGGUGGUACAGCGGGGACUGCCAGGGUGGCGACUGGGAGGCCCAGGGUAUUACCUGGGGAGGUGAUGGCGCUCUCCACCUUAGAUAGCCUGGUGCUUAAAGUCUGUAAGUUGGCCAAGAUUGCUGCUAGGGUAUCCUGGGUGGACGUGCCAGCGCUUGGUGGCUGUCCUUGAGAGCUAGUGCCUGGCCUAGGUUCAGGGGCUUGGUAGGUGAGCAGUCUGUAGAGUUCCGCCUUUCUAGCUGUAGCUGGAAAAGGGAUUCCCCUGAGCCUAAGUUCGGCCGUAAUUUUAGGGAUAGUCCAUGCUCUCAAGGACGUGGGAGCUGAGGCGGUGAGAGAUUCGCAUGGAGACUCUGGUCUGAUGGGCGUAAACGGGAUCUCCUCGGGCAACUCUUCGAUGGGGGCUGGUUCUUGAGACAUUCUAAAAAUGAUUCAGUGAAUGAGAUAUUAGAAGGUGAGUAAGCGAAGUUAAGCGAAAAACUUAACUGUGAAUUUUUGAUAGGUGAGGCCCUGCUAAUGCCAAGUGGCGGUGAGAGGCUCUACCUAUGAUUUGGCUUAGAGAAAUCGUGGCCACAGACGUGGUGGCGGGGUGUUGGCCUCUUGGUGACUGUAAUGAGAUUUAAAACAUGUGGCCGUGACAGGUGAGGCCCUGACUACAGCCCUGUAGUAGGGCGGGCGAGGCAUAUAACUAUGAUUUGGGCGUGGGGCCGUACCUCCGUGUUGAGGUGCGAGAUGGCCUCGCUGGACGGGAUUUUUUACUAGGGUGAGCUAGGGCGGUAGCUUAGACCCUGCAAGCCAGUUCACUUGUAUAUUAAAGGUUGAAUGGUAAUUCUGGUGUAAUGUGUGGAUACUAACCUUGAAGGGUUUAUAAUAGAGAGCUGGAACCUUCGAAUGUUUAUAUGUAGCGAGUCUUGGCUGCUGCUGUCCUCGUAGAAGAAGCCUAAGGAUUAAGACAGAUGUUGAUGUAUUUAUGCGUAACGUGGUGGCGUAUGAUUUGUGGUAAGGGUUGACUGAUAGGAGCGCGACGUGAGAUCCUGAAGUGAGGGAUCUGAAUGGUUAGACUACGACUGACGCGAGUUUACGUUAUAGAGAGAGGCUGAUUGAGGCCUUGGGGUAGUGAAUGCCGUAACGAAAGAGGACGUAAGUACCUGGUAGUGUGGCUGAGUACCAGGUUAGGUAGUGUGACAGAACCAUCUGUCUGCUCAUUUCAGGUGUAUUCGUCUGUUUCUAUCCUGUUCGUGUGGAUGGCUGUUUUCUAUAGCCCAGCCAUAAGAAUGAUUGCUUUUUCCCGAACAAACCUGCCGAACGGACGGCCACCCAGGAGAGAAGUGUGCUGCUGGUUAACCUAUUGAUCCCAAUUAGAACGUUGUGGUUAACCACAGACACUUCUCAAUUACACGAAUUCAGGGUGGUUGUUGUUCGUAUGUCGACCACGAGACAGCGGCCAUUUUAAACAACACGAAAGCCCAGCGGUGUUCGGCUCUAUUUUCAUGGAACUAAAAACUGACACUUUUUCUGCUGAACACCGCUGAAACAACGGAACGCCUGGCUGCCUCCACGAAAGCAUACGAACACCGGCCGUUCGGGAGUUUUGAAGCAUACGAAAGGACUUAAUCCAGAUAGCCUUCCCAUGGAGUCAAUCGCAUACCGAAAGACUGUAAGAACUUUGACUCCAUGGCGAUUGAACUAUGUGUGUGGGAUCUGAGCGCUAUUCGCCAUAAUAUGCACUCAGAUCCAGGCUAUCUGGGGAUAUGUGAUACGAAUGCAGAAUGUUCGGUUAUUGUAAAAUUAUAUAUUUUUAUGUCUUUUCUGGUUUUAUGUUUAAAAUGGCGACUGGCUUUGUCCUGGAGAUAAUUGAGUUACUUGGUAAUUAUCUCCAGGGCAGAGGGGAGGGAAUCAUAGUGCAUUGUGGGUAAACACUGUGACUGUGUGUCUGGAAUGUCCCCAUAUCUGUCUGUCAUUUAAGUCUCCCAUUUGGUCCCCUAGGGGAGAGUCCACCAAGUGGGAGACCUGCAUAAAUACGGGCAGGUAGCCCACAGUAAAGCCAGAUCCUGUUUGACCCUCAAUGCGGAGCUUCUGUCUCGUUAUUGGGGGGAUUUCUUCUUCACGUUUCGAGACUGCUGGAUGGAAACGAAAGCCGCUUGGUGGAUGUUAUUGUUCGGCGGCUCGCAGCAGUUCGUGUAUUGCCGUUCGGGAGUUUGGAGCCGUUCACGGAUCCCGGUCGGGAGAUUGCCGCUUCCCCUGCAUUUGGUUCGUGCACUACAGGUUAUGCGAACGGAGCUUAUUAAUAUUACAGAUGGGGAAGGUCAACUAAACGGCGGUUUUGCUUAAAGACACUGGGGGUGUCUUAACAAUUGGUGGCAAGCGACGGGAUGAAUCCCACAGCACUGGAGGUCAGCUACACAUCCCAAUUGAGCAAAGGAAAUGCAGUAUGAGGAGUUAAGACGUGCUACGCUUAAGGAUAUAUUGGAACGCCGAGGACGGUCAGCAAGCAACUUAAAGAAACGGGAGAUUAUUGCUUUGCUGGUAGAAAUGGAUGCGACACCGGGAAUGGAGAGAGCUAAUGUGCCCAGUACUUUGGAUUUAACACCCGAGGAAUUACAAUUUAACCGGGCAGUGCAAAUAAGGCUGGCACAUUUUGGCCCCAACCCCUCCGCAGACAUUGUGGAGCAUGUGCAGGCAGCAGUAACGGCACACCAGGCGCUCCGGGAAAGAGGAGCUGCAGCAGCAGAGGUACCCAAUAACAAUUUUGCUAGGAAAAAGGUACCCUUUGCUGCAUUUAAAAUUUUUGUUGAAACAGAGGGCGAGAUUGAUGGGUUCCUGGCGGACUUAGAGAGGCAGUGUGCCCUAGACCAGGUACCCACAGAUGAAUGGGUCACCAUCCUCUCUGGGAAGUUAUCCGGCCGGGCCAGUGAAGCGAUCACCAGCUACCGGGCGGUGAAGGAUGCGCUCCUAGCCAGGUAUGCGGUGACCCCAGAAGCUUACAGAAGGCGAUUUAGAGAAACCAACAAGCAGGUUGGUGACUUUUAUGUAGAAUGGGCCUGCAGGGUUCACCGUACCGCAGCCCACUGGAUGGCAGGAUGCCAAGCGGUAACUGGGGAGGAGGUGCUACAGGUGUUCCUGCUGGAGCACUGCUUUGAUAGACUACCUGCUGGGGUCCGGGAGUGGGUCAGGGAUAGAAAACCCUCUACCCUACCCGAGGCUGCCCGUCUGGCAGGCGAAUAUACGGACGCUCGUAAGUUGGAUAGUACAGCUACCAAAGCCCCUGCCAGACUGGAGUAUCGACCAGCAGUGCCUCCAGCUCCUUCAGCCUAUCAACCCCCAUUACACACCACCCCAGCACUACCACCGACGAACAACUACGUGCAACCAUCCAGAUUCAAUGCCCGGGAUUAUUCACAGCCCAUCCGGUGCUUUGGGUGCAAGCAGUUGGGGGCACAAGGGUCCAGAGUGCCCACUGAACAGUGCCAACCAAGCCCAAUCCUGGAGGAAACCAGCCAACGGGAACCAGCAGCCACCUCAGCCUGCUGCUCACUGCAUAGAGCAGGAGGAGUUCUGGGGCAUCCUACACGAGGCCGACCCAGUGCAAGCAGCUCACCAGGAUAAUCGCCAGCAACAUCGGCAGACGGUGAAACUUAAUGGCAGGGUGGUGAAUGGGCUAAGAGACACAGGAGCCACCAUGACACUGCUCCAAAAGAACCUGGUCUCGAAGCACCAGCACACAGGGGACACUGUGGCGGUGAGGGUAGCAGGGGGUGCCGUGUUUCGUUUACCUGUUGCCUGGGUUCAUUUGGAUUGGGGAGUGGGUGCUAGACACGUGGAUGUGGGGGUGAUGAAAGACUUGCCCGCUGAUGUUCUUCUGGGGAAUGAUUUGGCCCCUUUGGUUUCAGCCUAUGCCCGAUGGGCCCUGCUGAUGUUAACCCAGUGACUACCCAUGCUCAGACCCGUGCUUCUGGAACCGGCCCACCUGCUGAUGAGACCCAGGUAAGAUCUCCUUCCCCGACUGGUACCCUAGAUCAGGUCCCCUUAAGCUGGGAUUCCCCAGAGGAGUUUGGGAGGGAAACCCGGGCAGAUCCGACCCUCCAAAAGUACAGAGACAGGGCAGAUGCUGGAGAGGAAGGAAUAGAUGGAGAGCGGUAUGAGUGGGUAGGGGAUAGGUUAUAUAGGAUCCCUAAGCCCUCCCAGAAGAGUGUUGCCCCUCCGCCGAAUCGACAGUUAGUGGUACCUGCAAAGUACCGGCAGGAGAUUCUGCAGAUAGGGCAUGAUGUUCCGUUAGCUGGACAUCUAGGGUCCCGCCGCACAGCCUAUAGGAUCUCACAGAAUUUCUUUUGGCCAAACUUUAACCAGGCUGUGCGGAUGUAUUGCAGUACGUGUGACACAUGUCAACGGGUAGGAAAGCGGGGGGACCACCCUAAGGCUAGGCUAUUAUCGAUGCCUAUUAUAGGGGAGCCCUUUGCCCGCAUAGCUGUUGACAUUGUGGGUCCACUGGCCAGGGCUAGUCCAUCAGGUAAGAAAUACGUUCUUACCGUGGUGGACUAUGCCACUCGCUAUCCAGAGGCAGUAGCGCUGUCUAAUAUAGAGGCAGAGACGGUUGCUGAUGCCCUGGUUAGAAUUUUUACUAGGGUCAGGUUCCCUAAGGAGAUCCUCUCUGACCAGGGAACUCAAUUCACCACUGUGCUCACCCAGCAGCUGUGGAAGGUGUGUGGCAUUAAGCCGUUACUUAGCUCACCCCUACCACCCACAGGCUAACGGUCUCUGCGAGCGCUUUAACGGUACCCUCAAACAGAUGCUGAGGACCUUUACAGAUACUUGCAAAGACUGGGAGAGAUUCCUGCCUCAUUUGUUAUUUUCUUACAGAGAGGUGCCCCAGGAAUCUACUGGGUUCUCUCCCUUUGAGUUGCUGUAUGGGAGAAGGGUCCGCGGACCCCUAGAUCUCAUUCAGGGCCACUGGGAGGGGGAGACAGAGCAAGAGGGGACCCCCAUUGUGCCAUAUGUUCUGGAACUCCGGGACCGCAUGGAGAAACUGUCCCUGAUGGUAAGGGAAAAUCUCCAGGCGGCCCAGGGGAGACAGAAGAGAUGGUACGAUCAGGGUGCUCGACAGCGGGUCUUCCAGGUUGGGCAAAAGGUAUUGGUGCUCAAACCUGUGAAGGCCAACAAGAUGCAAGCAUCUUGGCAGGGCCCGUACAAGGUAGUAGCGCAGAUCUGCGAUACUACUUACUUGAUAGCCAGCUGUGCAGAUGAGAGGAUCCAGCGGUCCUUUCAUGUGAACAUGCUGAAAGAGUACCAGGAGAGACCUGAGAAUAUUGCAGCAGUAUGUGCCCCAGCUGCAGAUGAUUCUGAGAAUCUACCCCUUCCAGAUUUGUUAGAAAGGGAUUCCCAGACUGACCUCACUACCCUUGUACAGCUUGGGGACAGGUUGAACCCUACAGAAAGAGUACAGGCACAGCAGUUGUUGUGAGAGAAGCAGGCGACGUUCUCCCAGGAGCCAGGUUAUACCACCCUAGCUGUACAUAAGGUAGAGACCCCUGGACAGACCCCCUUACGACAGCCCCCCUAUCGUAUCCCUGAAGCAGUCCGUGAAGGAAUGCGGAAGGAGAUACAGGAGAUGACCCAACUUGGGGUCAUUGAGCACUCCGACAGCCCUUGGGCCUCGUCUGUAGUCCUGGUACCCAAGAAAGAUGGGACCACCCGGUUCUGUGUGGACUACAGGCGGCUCAACGAGCGGACCCCACUGACGCCUACCCAAUGCCACUGGUAGACGAAUUACUGGAUCGUAUUGCCAGGGGGCGCUAUCUGACCACCAUAGACCUGUGUAAGGGCUACUGGCAGAUCCCCCUGGCCGAGGAUGCUAUCCCCAAGUCGGCAUUUGUCACCCCAUUUGGCCUGUACCAAUUUAAGGUCAUGCCUUUUGGGAUGAAAAAUGCAUGGUGGAUAGACUCCUGGAUGGCUUCCAAGAAUUUGCCUGUGCAUACUUGGACGACAUUGCGAUUUACAGUGGGUCCUGGGAGGAACACCUGGUUCAUGUAGGGGUGGUACUGGAAAAGAUUCGGGCCGCUGGCCUGACAUUGAAGCCAGAGAAGUGCCAUCUAGGUAUGGCUGAAGUACAGUAUCUGGGUCACAGAGUGGGUUGUGGGAGCCAGAGACCAGAGCCAGCCAAGGUAGAGGCAGUGGCUAACUGGCCCACACCUACCACUAAGACCCAGGUACUGGCCUUUUUGGGGACGGCAGGGUACUACAGACGUUUUGUCCCUGACUACAGCACUAUUGCUAAGCCCCUGACAGACAUGACAAAGAAGAACUUGCCUAAGCAGGUCCUGUGGUCUCCGGCUUGUGAAGCCGCGUUCCAGGCACUGAAACAGGCCCUUGUGAAUGCCCCUGUCUUGGCUGCCCAGUCCCUAACAAACGUUUUCUCAUCCAUACAGAUGCUUCCAUAUAUGGACUGGGGGCUGUGCUGAGCCAAGUCGGGGAAGAUGGAGGAGAGCACCCUGUCGCACAUCUCAGCAGAAAAUUGUUACCCAGAGAAGUGAGUUAUGCGGCAGUGGAGAAGGAGUGUUUGGCCUUGGUCUGGGCAUUGAAAAAGUUAAGUCCCUACUUAUAUGGGCAAGAGUGUUCCCUUGUGACUGAUCAUAACCCACUCGUUUGGCUUAACCGGGUCUCAGGAGACAAUGGGAGACUACUGAGAUGGAGCUUGGCAUUGCAGCCCUACAAUUUUACCAUCAGCUACAGACCCGGUAAGCUGAACGGGAAUGCAGAUGUGUUAUCUCGGCAAACAGACGUCUCCACCACCUCUUAGUCCGGUCAUCCCCAAGUUGACCCGCCAAAGGGUCAAGCCGGGUCUGCCGGAGUGUCCCACAAGGAGGGAGCCGUGUGACAGAACCAUCUGUCUGCUCAUUUCAGGUGUAUUCGUCUGUUUCUAUCCUAUUCGUGUGAAUGGCUGUUUUCUAUAGCCCAGCCAUACGAAUGACUGUUUUUUCCCGAACAAACCUGCCGAACGGACGGCCACCCAGGAGAGAAGUGUGCUGCUGGUUAACCUAUUGAUCUCAAUUAGAACGUUGUGGUUAACCGCAGACACUUCUCAAUUACACGAAUUCAGGGUGGUCGUCGUUCGUAUGUCGACCAUGAGGCAGCGGCCAUUUUAAACCACGCGAAAGCCCAGCGGUGUUCGGCUCUAUUUUCAUGGAACUAAAAACGGACACUUUUUCUGGCGAACACCGCUGAAACAACGGAACGCCUGGCUGCCUCCACGAAAGAAACAUAGAAACAUAGAAACAUAGAAUGUGACGGCAGAUAAGAACCAUUCGGCCCAUCUAGUCUGCCCAAUUUUCUAAAUACUUUCAUUAGUCCCUAGUCUUAUCUUAUAGUUAGGAUAGCCUUAUGCCUUAAACUCCUUUACUGUGUUAACCUCUACCACUUCAGCUGGAAGACUAUUCCAUGCAUCCACUACCCUCUCAGUAAAGUAAUACUUCCUGAUAUUAUUUUUAAACCUUUUGUCCCUCUAAUUUAAGACUGUCCUCUUGUUGUGGUAGUUUUUCUUCUUUUAAAUAUAGACUCCUCCUUUACUGUGUUGAUUCCCUUUAUGUAUUUAAAUGUUUUAUCAUAUCCCCUGUCUCGUUUUUCUCCUUAAGCUAUACAUGUUAAAAUUCUUAACCUUUCUGUAAAGUUUUAUCCUUCCGCGAAUCCAUGAAAUCCAGUUUAGUAGCCNNNNNNNNNNNNNNNNNNNNNNNNNNNNNNNNNNNNNNNNNNNNNNNNNNNNNNNNNNNNNNNNNNNNNNNNNNNNNNNNNNNNNNNNNNNNNNNNNNNNUACAGUAGCUGUGCCUGUCUCUGAAAGGGGAUUAUCGUCUAAGCGUUUUUUUCCCCUUUUGUGCAAAACGGUCCGUUACAGUAGGCAAAAGAGGGGACAGAUACAAAGCCCGACUACGGUCUCUGCCCAUCAUUGAGGAACCCUUCAGUAGUGUGGCAGUAGACAUCAUAGGUCCCCUCGCAAAACCAAGCACCUCCAGCAAGAAAUAUGUCCUAACCGUGGUGGAUUAUGCCACCAGGUACCCCGAGGCCGUGGCCUUAACUAAUGUGCACGCAGAAACGGUAGCCGAGGCCCUGAUGAGAAUAUUCACCCGGGUAGGAUUUCCCCGGGAGAUUAUCUCCGAUAGAGGCACCCAGUUUACUGCUGAAGUGACCCAUCAGCUCUGGAAGAUAUGUGAGUUACAGCAAAUCCUGAACUCCCCAUAUCACCCCCAGUCCAAUGGGCUCUGUGAACGGUUUAACGGAACCCUGAAACAAAUGAUCCGCACGUUCAUG
rnacentral:lncRNA from 1 species